rnacentral:lncRNA from 1 species
ACAUUCAGAUUCAACACAUCUUUCGUGUAUCUGUCUGUCAUUUUCAUCCGGAAUCUUUGUCCAUCUGCCUAAGAAAUCCCGUUCUUCACAGACCAGGGACCCAGAUUGUCUGUGGCAGUUGGCGCCUUCGAACAGGGACAACUGGGCAGAUUAGUCCUUUCCUUUCUUUCCUUUUUUUCUUUCUAUUCUUUAUUUUCUCAGGCAAAGAUAGGACCCCGUAGGACUGCGCUGCAGACGGGUAAGUAUUUAUCAUGGGGCAAUCAGAAUCAAAAGGGAAUAUAAAAGCAUGUGUAGAUGCCUCACUGGCUGUAAUGCAGGAAUUAGCUUACACCACAGCAAGGAAAGGGAAGAAAUUCAGCGCUACGUGUGGAAUUACAUGUUUCAGUUGUGAAAAACCGGGGCACCUGAGAAAAGAUUGUAAAAAUCUCUCAGGAGACAAGAAGAGCAUUCCUUUGGGUCCCUCCCAGUGUUGUGACAAGCACUGGAGAAGUGAAUGUAAAUCAAAGUCCCAUAAGGAUGGGACUCAGCUCACUAGAGAAGCUGGAAAGACAAAGAACUAUAGAACUGCAUGUUUCGGUUGUGACAAACCGGGGCACCUGAGUAAGGAUUGUAAAAAUCCCUCGGGGAAACAAGAAGGGCCUUUCUCCAGGUCUCUGUCCAGGCUGAGGUGGAAACCUUGGGGGAAUGAUUGCAGAUCAAAGUCCCAUAAGGAUGGGACUCUGCUCACUAAGAAGCAGGUAAGGCGAAAAACUAAAGGGGCAGUCUCUUAGCCCCGUUCAGAAACUGUGGAGCUCAUUAUAGGACACAGCUCCAGUUAUAAGAAAAACUUCAAGUUGUGAAUUCUGAUAUUUUAGGCUAAAUUAAAAGUUAUGGUUAAAUUAUGGUCAAAGUAUAAAAAGAGACUUAAAAGUCAAAAUAUAGGUCACUUCUUACUGUUACCUUAUUUACAAUUUCCCAAUCCUACAUUGUGCUAAAAAUCCGAAGAAAAGGCUCUAUUGAAAGUUAAGUAAUCUCCUAAAACAUAUAUAAUUCAUUCCAUAAAUGGUAUUUUUGUUGGUUGCAGAAAAUAGCGUUUUUGCAGGUGACUAUAAAAUAUAUGACUAAGUGUGGACUGAUGAUGGCUUCAAAAAGAUUCAGCAUGGUAAACUUUUUGGCUAUUUGAGACAUUUAGCGUAUAGAGAUUGUGUGUUUUCUCAAAAAUUUGCCCUCAGAUUAAAUAAAUUAGAAGUUUGGAUGCUUGCCAGAGCUGUUAGAAAAUUUUAGGUUUUAAUCUUGGUUCAAAAACCUGCCUCUUACAAGCAGGAAAAGAAAGGAAGGGAUAAAAGAAAAUGGAUUUUAAAAUUCUCCCAGGGACAGAGAGAAAUCGGGGGAUGCCCUGUUUCAUUCUCUCUGGCCCCUACAGGAGAAAUUCUUUGUUGUCUAAUGUUCGGUGCACCAAUCAUGUCAAUUCAUGUAUUUUGUUUCAUUGUCUGAAUGAUUGUGUCGUUGUCUGAAUGACUGUUUUAUGUUUCAUGUUAAAUAAAUAGAACAAAAAUAAUGGUUAAAACUUUACCUGCUGAUUCACUCUCAGUUUGCACAAAGGAGGCUGAGAAAGAGCCUUCACUAUAGCCAUAAAUCAAGCACAGCAAGAGAGGCCCUGCUAGAAACUGUUUUUAAAGAAAAGGAAUCUGCAACCUCUUAGUUCUAAGGCAAAUAAGCUGAUAGUUGUUUUUUCCUAAAACUUUCUCUGCAAGUUUGUGAUCAUUGUGUUUAGCAAAUAACAAAUUGCUUUUUUAUCUUACAAGUAUAGCUAUAAAAGGUAAAAUUCUUUGAUUGAUCUAAAUUCAUAAGAUUCAUGUAGCUACUUCAUUUGGUUUUUGAUUGGUCUUAAAGGUAUAAAUAUGAUCUAACAUGUCUUGGUCAUAGAGAAUUGGUUUAUAAGUUAUUUGGGUAUAAUUAAAAAGAUGUAACACUAGUUACAAAGUUAACUUAAAAGUAGUAACUCAAAGAUAGAGUCAUUUUCAAACAAAAGCACCUGGCAUAAAUCAGCCCAGAGAACUAGUCCUCUAAAGAUACUUCUAAAUUGAGAUAACAUUUUAUGUAAUUCUUAUCUUUAAAGAUAAUGUCUCUUUAAUGAAACAUUAAACUGUCAUACAUUAAUGAAUUAACAGCCAAAUUUUGUAACGUGAUAGUGAUGUUUUUAGUAUUGAUUUUAAAGAAAAUAAAUUGUUUAAAAUUGGGUCUUGCUUUCCAAAAGUUAUAGAUAUGUUCUAAUAUUGCAACAGAAACUUAAAAAUUCUGGUUAAAAUUGCCAGUGUCCCAUUGACUGCAGUUUGCAGUUUAAUCAAAAGCUUAAGACUUUUAACUCACCCAUAAUUAAGAUUAUUACUAAAAUAAUCAACUUAUAAGAGUGCUAAUGCUGCUCACUUGGGACAUUCAGCCAUACAAAACAAAGUAAAAUUAACUAGAUAUAUUCAUCUUUGUGCAGAAAUUAGACCCCCACACAAUCAGUUUGACUAUGGCUGCGGCCUUGUAGGACCAUAAAAGGUCAUAAAAGAAAAUGUUUAAGGUAUAAGUCAUCUUAAGAAAGAGUGUCCAAAAUCAGAGGCAUGGACAAACAGUUAAAUUGCUCCUUUAGAAUCUGUCCUCAUUGCAGGAGGGCAAGAUGCUC